GACGAACGCUGGCGGCGUGCCUAACACAUGCAAGUCGAACGGAAAGGCCCUGCUUUUGUGGGGUGCUCGAGUGGCGAACGGGUGAGUAACCCGUGAGUAACCUGCCCUUGACUUUGGGAUAACUUCAGGAAACUGGGGCUAAUACCGGAUAGGAGCUCCUGCUGCAUGGUGGGGGUUGGAAAGUUUAGGCGGUUGGGGAUGGACUCGCGGCUUAUCAGCUUGUUGGUGGGGUAGUGGCUUACCAAGGCUUGGACGGGUAGCCGGCCUGAGAGGGUGACCGGCCACAUUGGGACUGAGAUACGGCCCAGACUCGUACGGGAGGCAGCGGUGGAGAGUAUUACACAGUGGGCGGGAGCCUGAUGCAGCAACGCCGCGUGCGGGAUGACGGCCUUGGGGUUGUGAACCGCAUUCGCCUGUGACGAAGCGUGAGUGACGGUAAUGGGUGAAGAAGCACCGGCUAACUACGUG
rnacentral:rRNA from 1 species